UCGAUCGCGUAAAACAUAUAUCAAUCAUUAAAGAACAGCAUCAAUGUCAAAACAUGGUUUUGGCUCCACGUAUGAUUGAGACUGUCCGUAAAGGACCGUCGAGGACUAAAAAAUUUCUGACAUUGAUGCAGUACACUAUCGAUAAAAAUUUUGUAUGAACACGACUGAAAAUUGGUUCCACGUAAGACUUUUGAAGUAAGUUAUCCGUAAAGGACUGCGACAAAUGUUAUGUCAAACUAGGCUUUCAUUGAUACAAGGCAUGAGGUGUUAUUUACGGUGACAUAUGUGGUAUCCAAAGUCGUUUUACUACUCAUAUUUUUGUUAAAAUAUUUUAAAAAGCUUUUUUAAAAUAAUUUAUCAAAUAACAAAGCAAUUAGGAUUAUUAUAUGAAGUAAGAUAAUGUUAAAAUCAUUGAAGAAUAAUUUUUAGAUUUAAAGUUACCUUUUGACACUUUCGUAUGUUUGCACUUUGCCGCCAAAGGUUUGGUGUAUUCAAGUUUAACUGCGAAUUUUGUAGUAAAAACGUGGUAAAAACACCAAACUAUUGUAGUUUUUGGAUUAAUUAGCCGCAUAGGAUCCUAGCAGAAAAAAGGAAAACAAAUAAAACACCAGUCAAA